GCCGCCAUUUCAAAUUUUACGACCGUUACAUUUCCAGCCUGAUAUCAAUAACUAACACAUUUUGUUUUUCUUAUUUAGCUACAUAAUAGGCAAUAGAUUUAUUAUAAACAAAAGCUAGAUUUCGUUUACAAAAUACAACCUCCAGCUCUGGACUCAAUGAAUGCGACCUACAAUAGCAGCUGGUCGCACUAGCUAUGUAGCAACUUGGUGUCACUGGCUGACCGGGUCGUACUGUACCGACCAGAGAAAAACACGUGCGUCGGCCAAAAUGGAGAGGGCGCACCUAAGUUAUCCCUGUGCCAAUUGAAAAACAUAGAUAUAAAAAAAAACUACAAAUCCUUAAAGGCUGGUACAAAUUCUAAUGACCAUGGUCAUGGUGUCUCAAAAAAAAAAGAUACCAUGCCUUACUCCGCGUUACACGUGAACAGUCAUUUACAUUGAAAUGAAGUUGGAAUAUUCAUAUUGCUACUUUAUUGUAAAAAUAUAUUACACAAUUUAAUGAAC